UACGUAGGGGGCAAGCGUUGUCCGGAUUUAUUGGGCGUAAAGAGCGUGUAGGCGGCCUGAAAGGUCAGCUGUGAAAACUCGAGGCUCAACCUCGAGACGUCGGUUGAAACCAUCUGGCUAGAGUCCGGAAGAGGAGUGUGGAAUUCCCAGUGUAGAGGUGAAAUUCGUAGAUAUCGGGAAGAACACCGGUGGCGAAGGCGGCAACCUGGUCCUUGACUGACGCUGAGGCGCGAAAGCGUGGGGAGCAAACAGG
rnacentral:rRNA from 1 species